rnacentral:rRNA from 1 species
UACGUAGGGUGCGAGCGUUGUCCGGAAUUAUUGGGCGUAAAGGGCUCGUAGGCGGUUCGUCACGUCGGGAGUGAAAACUCGGAGCUUAACUCCGAGCCUGCUUCCGAUACGGGCAGACUAGAGGUAGGCAGGGGAGAGCGGAACUCCUGGUGUAGCGGUGGAAUGCGCAGAUAUCAGGAAGAACACCGGUGGCGAAGGCGGCUCUCUGGGCCUUACCUGACGCUGAGGAGCGAAAGCGUAGGUAGCGAACAGG